rnacentral:rRNA from 1 species
CCAGACUCCUACGGGAGGCAGCAGUGGGGAAUAUUGCACAAUGGGGGAAACCCUGAUGCAGCGACGCCGCGUGAAGGAAGAAGUAUUUCGGUAUGUAAACUUCUAUCAGCAGGGAAGAAAAUGACGGUACCUGACUAAGAAGCCCCGGCUAACUACGUGCCAGCAGCCGCGGUAAUACGUAGGGGGCAAGCGUUAUCCGGAUUUACUGGGUGUAAAGGGAGCGUAGGCGGCGAUGCAAGUCAGAAGUGAAAGCCCGGGGCUCAACUCCGGGACUGCUUUUGAAACUGUGCAGCUAGAGUGCAGGAGAGGCAGGCGGAAUUCCUAGUGUAGCGGUGAAAUGCGUAGAUAUUAGGAGGAACACCGGUGGCGAAGGCGGCCUGCUGGACUGUAACUGACGUUGAGGCUCGAAAGCGUGGGGAGCAAACAGGAUUAGAUACCCUCGUACA